CACGACACUCAGUCCGCCAGAAAAUUACGAGCAUCAACCUUUAAGCCUAAAACUCAAAAGACUUGACGGUGUCCCAACCUACCUAGAGGAGCCUGUUCCAUAAUCGAUACUCCACGAUCAACCCUACCACCCCUUGAACCAAAGUCUCAGCCUAUAUACCGCCGUCACCAGCCUACCUUUCAAAAGCUAUAAAGUAGGCACAAUAGUACACCACUAACACGUCAGGUCAAGGUGUAGCCUAUGGGGUGAGUGCUAAUGGGCUACAUUAUCUGCCACAGAUCAUCCACGAACUAUUUUUUGAUACAACUAUAUCAAGGCGGAUUUAGUAGUAAACCAAGCAAGAACACUUCGUUUAACCCUGCUCUGGGACA
rnacentral:rRNA from 1 species